UUGUGCUUUUCUGUGUGUUCAUGUGAACGUAGAAGCCCUAACCGAAACCAACACUACGUUGCUGUGUUGUUUUCUUCCAAGGUCGGGCACAGUAAAGGAGACGACUCUGUAUCAAGGCACUACCCAGAGGGAGGAUGUUGGCCUUCUCCUGAUGGGAAAAUGUCUUCUUUCUCAUGGCGUGGCCAGGACUGCACUGACCCUACCAUCCACUCUACCUCUCCGGAAAGGGACUUGACAACCAGUCAAGAUGGAUGUGCAGAGAUAUACCAGCGCUUCUAGCAUUAACUGCCAAUUUGCACUGACGCAGCAAGACUCCCAACAGUCAAAAAAUGUCUCUACCUGCCAGGAUGGUAUAAGAGCACGAACUGAAUCACCUGUUGGUGCAGAAGGCUUGGAGGACUGCUUUUGAAACAGUUGUUCAAAUUUCCUGCACCUCUUCGUAGCCGUUGUCUGAUUGCUGCAUUCUGGGGAGACUGAAGUUAAGUAUUAUCAAUUUAUCAUGCCUAUACAAGCCUUGCCAG